rnacentral:rRNA from 1 species
GCCGUAAACGAUGGGCACUAGGUGGCGGGGGGAGCGACCCCCUCGGUGCCGAAGCUUACGCGAUAAGCGCCCCGCCUGGGGAGUACGGCCGCAAGGCUGAAACUCAAAGGAAUUGACGGGGACCCGCACAAGCGGUGGAACAUGUGGUUUAAUUCGUAGCUAAGCGAAAAACCUCACCGAGGCCUGACAUCCUGGGAAUCCCUAAGAAAUUAGGGAGUGCCUUCGGGAACCCAGUGACAGGUGUUGCAUGGCUGUCGUCAGCUCGUGUCGUGAGACGUU